GAUGAACGCUGGCGGCGUGCCUAAUACAUGCAAGUCGAGCGAACGGACGAGAAGCUUGCUUCUCUGAUGUUAGCGGCGGACGGGUGAGUAACACGUGGAUAACCUACCUAUAAGACUGGGAUAACUUCGGGAAACCGUAGCUAACACCGGAUAAUAUUUUGAACCGCAUGGUUCAAAAGUGAAAGACGGUCUUGCUGUCACUUAUAGAUGGAUCCGCGCUGCAUUAGCUAGUUGGUAGGGUAACGGCUUACCAAGGCAACGAUGCGUAGCCGACCUGAGAGGGUGAUCGGCCACACUGGAACUGAGACACGGUCCAUACUCCUACGGGAGGCAGCAGUAGGGAAUCUUCCGCAAUGGGCGAAAGCCUGACGGAGCAACGCCGCGUGAGUGAUGAAGGUCUUCGGAUCGUAAAGCUCUGUUAUUAGGGAAGAACAUAUGUGUAAGUAACUGUGCACAUCUUGACGGUACCUAAUCAGAAAGCCACGGCUAACUACGUG
rnacentral:rRNA from 1 species